UGCUGAGCACAACGCAGCUCCGCCCUCGCAAAGGCACAGCGCGGGCGCAGGCGCCCAGAGGCGCACAGGAGACCUCAGGCCCAGACUCCACUCCCCAGCUGUGAAAGGACUGCUGGCCAGACCCCCAAGCUAGCCCGCCAGGCCUCCAUAGAGCUGCCCAGCAUGGCUGCAUCCAGUACCAAGAGUUGGUGGGAGACGGGUGAGGUAUAGGCUCAGUCUGCGGCCAAGACUCCGUCCUGCAAGGAUAUUGUGGCUGGAGACAUGAGCAAGAAAAGCCUCUGGGAGCAGAAGGGAGGCUCCAAGACCUCAUCAACAAUUAAGGGUUGUAGUGCCAACAGAGAUCUCAUGGCCCACACAGAGCCUAAAAUGUUUUCCAUGUGGCCCUUUAUGGAAAAAGUUUGCCCACCCCUGGCUUGAACAAUGACAACAUUGAAUUAUCUGCCAUCACAAGAACUCCAGAGGAAGGUGGCUCCAGGGUCACACGAAGGCUCAGCAAAGUCCUCGAGGCCCCAGGCUCCUGUUCCCUCCUUGGCAGGAAGGAGUGAUUGGCUGCUGGUCCUGCCCUGUCCGAGGAGGAGGACGGAACCCACCCACCAAGCUGUGGAGAGGUGGACCCCACAAAUCCCCUCGCAAGCCACGUCUGAGAGCGAGCAGAGGGAAGAAACUCAAGCGUUUGUAGUCCUCUUUCUUAACAACCAGGCUUAAAGCGCCAUCUUGUGUCUUGAAGGCAGAAGGAGAUCAGGAUGUGUGUGCUAGAAGCAGGCAGAGGAUCUUCACCAAUGUCUCAAAAACUAGAGAAGGAAACAUGGCGAUCCUCAAGGCCCGCGGCGGCCCCAGCCCUUCCCGCACCCUGCGAUAGUCUGGUGUUGGGAGGGUGGCCCACGUGUCCAAGCAACCACAUCAGGGAGGUUCUGGGAGAGGAGAAGGCAAAGCUCAUGCCCUCAUGAGGCAGGCAGUCCCAUCCAGGACUGGACUGGAUGAGCACCAAUAAAUAAGAAAACACAGCUGGCAGCUGACUGUGAAGGGUCUGGACAGGGUGCCGAAGUGAAGCGUAAUGAGCUGGAUAGUGAGGACCUCACUACAGAGGGACAUCUAUCUACACACAGCCUGAAGGGUGAGAAAGAUGGAUCCUUGCCCUGAGCCAGAAGUGCACACCCCAGAGAGAGCAGCUCCUGCGGAGGUCCUGUGGGGCAGGCAUGGUAGGAAUAUUAAAGAGAAGAAGCCAGGUGUGGCUGCAGCCAUGCAGGAGGAAGGGCGAUGGGGUUGGGGAGGCAGAGGAUGGGACUGGCAUGAGAAGAUGGAGAUGCAGAGCCCAGAUCGUGAUAGCCCCAAUAGUCCACGGGUAGGAGUUUGUAUUUUCUACUAAAAGCAAUGGGAGGGCGGGGCGCGGUAGCUCAAGCCUAUAAUUCCAGCACUUUGGGAGGCCG
rnacentral:lncRNA from 1 species